ACCAGAGGAUUUUCCGUGUGUGUGCGUGUGCCUGGUUCACACAGUGCAUCAUAUUCUAAAGCAAGCAUGGCCACAUUGAGUCAAGCAAGCGUCAUCUUCUUUUUAAUGUGUUGCGAAUGGCACGUUGUUCAAGCAUGCAAGCACAACGAGCACCGCGUCUCAUGCAAGAGAGGUGAGAGCAUCCCCGGAGACUUGUGUCCAGGGGUUCAGCGGUGGCCAUGCAACAGAGUGAAGAUAAGGUGUGCGUGUGUGAAAGGAUCAUUCCAGAGGUGGGACGGCCGCUGCGUGCCCUACAGAG